CCCUGACCAGAACAACCUUAGAUGUCAUCGUAGAAAUUGAGCCUUUUGAAGUGCUCUGUAAACUGCAAAUUACGAAUAACUUUUCACAGCAGCACACUUAAAGAGGCAUCAAGAGCUAUUCUCCAGCCUCAUGGAAAAAACACAAUUCUUUGGAGCGACUUUAACUGUAAAAGAUGAAGAUUAAAACGGGGGAUUUUAUGGAUUUGAAAUGACUAAGUGCUGCCAAGAUGCAAGAGUCGCUAUGGCAACAUCAUCACUCCAGGAUUCUGAUUGGCUGCUGGGAGAUUCUUGCGUCGUCACAUCCAGACACAAGGAUGACUCACUGAACUCCACUAUGCCAGCGUGCAAUUAGGCCAAAUACAUUUUUGUCUU